rnacentral:rRNA from 1 species
UAGUCCUAGCUGUAAACGUUGUAUACUAGAUGUGAGCGGAUUGGUCCCGUUCGUGUCCAAGCUAACGUGAUAAGUAUACCGCCUGGGGAGUACGGCCGCAAGGCUAAAACUCAAAGGAAUUGACGGGGGGCCCGCACAAGCGGUGGAGCAUGUGGCUUAAUUCGAGGCAACGCGAAGAACCUUACCUGGACUUGAAAUAUACAGGACCGCCCUAGAAAUAGGGUUUCUCUUCGGAGUCUGUGUACAGAUGCUGCAUGGCUGUCGUCAGCUCGUGCCGUGAGGUGUUCGGUUAAGUCCGGCAACGAGCGCAACCCACGUCACUAUUUGCCAUCAGGUAAUGCUGGGAACUAUAGUGAGACUGCCCGUGUCAAGCGGGAGGAAGGCGUGGACGACGUCAAGUCAGUAUGGCUCUUACGUCCAGGGCUACACACGUGCUACAAUGGUAAAUACAGAGGGCAGCGAGCCAGCAAUGGCAAGCGAAUCCCUAAAGUUUAUCUCACGG